GCUAUUUUGACAGAUAAGUGUAAUAAAUUUAGAAUUUAUUAAUGUAAAUAAAUUUACAAAUAGUA
rnacentral:tRNA from 1 species